CCAAAACGACUCUCGGCAACGGAUAUCUCGGCUCUCGCAUCGAUGAAGAACGUAGCGAAAUGCGAUACUUGGUGUGAAUUGCAGAAUCCCGUGAACCAUCGAGUCUUUGAACGCAAGUUGCGCCCGAAGCCAUCAGGCCGAGGGCACGCCUGCCUGGGCGU
rnacentral:rRNA from 1 species